UACGAAGGGGGCUAGCGUUGCUCGGAAUCACUGGGCGUAAAGCGCACGUAGGCGGCUUUUUAAGUCAGGGGUGAAAUCCUGGAGCUCAACUCCAGAACUGCCUUUGAUACUGAGAGCUUGAGUCCGGGAGAGGUGAGUGGAACUGCGAGUGUAGAGGUGAAAUUCGUAGAUAUUCGCAAGAACACCAGUGGCGAAGGCGGCUCACUGGCCCGGUACUGACGCUGAGGUGCGAAAGCGUGGGGAGGCAAACAGG
rnacentral:rRNA from 1 species